rnacentral:rRNA from 1 species
AUGGCUUGGUUCCUAAAUAAUAGAGAAAAGUAUGUUUUUGAUCCCUCAAGUUCACAAAAAUUAUACACUUGGUCCCUUAAGAUUUUGUUGGAUCGCAUUUCAUCGCUCAAGUUCCAAAAUUUCGUCCAAAACCAGGCUUGGAAAAAAACAAGAUGCAUGAAAGUGGUUUUCUCUCUCUUCAGUUGCCACGUGUUAAGUUUGGAAUGCUGCGGUGGGCCGCGGGAGGCUGCAGCUGAGCGGUGCAAGAGAGGAGAGGUUCGCCGUGGCUGUUGCGAGCUUGGGCAGGGCCGUCAGGGAGAGACCUAUCCUGUGGCCUCUGGACCUCUGGGAUCUGAGGAGCUUCACCGGCGAGCAACAGGGGGCGUCGAUACUCAGCCGUAG